AUCCCAGCACGGGGUUUCCUGGGAGAGGGGCGGAGGGCAGGGGCACGCGCCCGGCGAGAGCUCUACUAGGCAGCCGCUGCCUACUCCCCAGGGCAGGCAGAGGGUGUUCAGUAGCCCCCCAGGAGCUAAGGGGAUGGAGGCAGUGCCCUGUCUGCAGCGCCCUCGAGGCAUUCAUUUAGAAGGGGGCUCUUUGCACGAUGCUCAGCAGCCCUUCCCCCCGCAGGGAGCUUUGCCCCACGGCCUCUGCCUGCCACCCUAAAAGCUCAUUCCUGAAUGUCAGUAAACGCCACAGAUCUUCUGCCACUAUUUUAAAUAAGUGAAUUACCUGCUUGGAACAACCACCUUAUUGAAAGGGAUAAUGAAUGAGCAAAUGUAUGGCACAGAACAAUCCGACGCUGGCAAGGCAAUGACUAGAUGACCUAGCAGCACUCAUACUAUCAGGCAAGAUCACAGGAAAACCAGGAAGAGGAAGAAAGAGAGUCAGUUACACUGGAAAUGUCAUCAGGUGGACUGGUAUCCAAAGAAGAGUGGAGUUUUACAACUUUUUUGUGACUGCAAAAGAUGGAAGUUGGUGGUCAACAGCCUCUACAUUGGAGACCUCACUUGAAGAAGAUGCAGUACUAUAGUUUAAAAUUGAACAUAAAGAGGCCUGGACAGUAGGACUCUGGACACACUAGGCAUGCUGGAGCCUGUCUCAGUCUAUCCAUUAGAGGGCAGUAGUACAUCCACCAUGAUUGCAAAAGCAAAGGAGGACAGGAUUGCAACUCACGCCAUGCGUAAGUAAUAAGGAACUGGAGAGGCAUAGACCCACACCACCUCCUCAGUCGGGAGCACGAGGGAAGAUACUGCGCAUGUAUGGGUCAACGGACAGCUUGGAAAAACUUCUGGACUCAGACACAUGGCACGUAUAUGUAUCCACGUGUGGAAUUCACAUAGGGACCAGAACUUGAAGAAGAAUUGGGAUUGUUGAAUUCUAUUCCUAGCUCUGCUGCUGACUCCCUGUGUGAUCUUUGGCAAGUGAAUUAACCUGUUUGACAACUUACGCUUCUGUAAACUAGGGAUAAUAAUAUACUUCACAGACGGAGUGGUGUCCAGGAGCUUCUGGUCUGCUUCCUGAUUAACUUUGCUUCUAGGUAACCCAUGAGCCCAGCUGCACUGCUUUGGAACUGACAGAGUGGCCACAGCCCCUGAUUGGCUGCUGGUUUAGCAGCCCUGCUGAUAAGCCUGGCCCCCACAGCAGAUCAGCAGCUGCUCAAUGUGUACCAUGUCUUCAGCUGUGCUUGCCCUUGUUCCAGUCCCUGCUCCUGCAUUGUUCCAGCCCUUGUUCCAGUCCCUGCUCCCCACCAGCUUCAGAAUUCUGGCUUAGAUCUCCAGCUUUGCCUCUGGCUUAUGGCUCUGGUUGAUCAUCUAGUUCUGGCAUACAACGUCUGUCUCUCAGGAAUUGAUCCCUGGCUCUGUCUCUGGCUUACAUUUCUGAUUUACCCCCUGCCUCUGGCAUUUGGCUUCUGUCCCUCUGAAACUGACCCUUGGCUCAUUUCCUGACUCUGCCCAUCAUGGACCAGCUCUAACUGGUAGCCUGAACUCUUGCUUCCACCUGUGCACGGCCUUGUCGGUUACAAAUGGUGAGGCAUAAUUGAGGUUUGUAAAAUGCUUUGACGUAUGCAGAUGAAAGGGGCUUUUACCUAUGUAGAGUGUUCUUGUUACUUUACCAGCAUUUUAUAUUAUAUUCAACAAAACUUUUUAAAAGUAGCAGCAACAAAAGCCUGUCAUUUUGACAAGAACGAAAUAUUGCAUUGGAAAAGAAAGGAAAAAUUAAAAUGACAGAAUCCACUGAAAGGAAAAAGACAUAAUGGAGACAUCUGGCUCUGUGCUGAUAAAAGCUCUCACAGCUCCUAUCCCAUCAUCCCUUGCAGAGCUCAUCUGAAAGCGUAUCUUUCAAGGGUUUCCAAAAUGAAGAAAAACAUCUGUCCAAGUCUAACUAUGUUUGACCAACUGUUUUUAAAAAAAAGUGUUCCAGUGAUAAAACCCUCAGGAAGAUAACCAUUUCUCAAACAAAAAGUCCGAGAGGGUUCAUCAGCCCGUUUGAGUAAUAAACAGAAGUGUGCCAUCAACAAUCUCAGGGGUGACCUGCAAAUGCAUAUUAAACUCUCCAUUCUGUAUUACAUAAUUUUCUCUUCUUUUUAUAGCACAGACUACCUGAGAAUUUACUCCCCUGAGAAGUUAAUAUCCCUCCUGGAACCUUUAGACACUUAUAAAAGCUGUCUGUAUAGCUCUGUUGGCAGCAUCUUGCCUCUUACUCAGAAGGCAUUGGGCUCAAUACCACACUAGGCUUGGCUUCAUUAUUUUUAAUGCUGACACUGCAGUGUGGUAUUUGGAGUGGGGUGAGGGUUGCUGCUGCUGAGCAGAUAUUAAACUGAACUCCCUUUGUCUCGAGCUGCUGUGGCAUGUUUCAAAGAGAACUAGGGAUAGGGCAUUUGACUAGGACAUGGGGUUUUCUCAGUAAAACCGAUUCCCAGUACCAAGAUCUGUGUCAACUGUUGUGGAGCUCCAAAUCCUGCUCCUUCCUCCAGGCGUGUAGAGGGCCCUGACUGAAGCAGUAGAGGUUCAGUGCCAUUGAGGGGGGAGGAAACAGAUUUUUUUAGAGACUGCAGCCAGGGGUUAUGCACACACCCAGCAUCCCUACAGAACUCAGCUCCGUAAGGGUUCCCACACAACCAUAUGCAGUGGCUGUUUGGAUGUAACACAGUAACAAUUGAUCUGUUGUUGCACAGAAUCUCCAACAUUGACCCAACGUGCAGGAGUACAGAGGCUACUGUAGUAGCACCAAGAUAGACGUGGAGGUGUGGGGAGCGGGGGAAGAUCUCCUCCUUCAGCUCCCUCGGAAAACACCAGUAGCUAGCCCAAUUAUCCAGGCUGGGCACUGAGAACAGCUAUUUCCCCAAAGUGCCUGGUGACUGCUGAUUUUGCUUUCACAGUCACUGCGCUAUGAAUAUCUAACAUAUUGUCGUAAAACACUUGGGUAUCUCAAAAGAAUGGCCAUACUGAGUCAGUAGUCCAGUAUUCUCUCUUCUGCCAGUGGCCAGUGAUCCAUCCUUUCAAAAGUCUGAAAGGUGCCAUAGGAAAAUGCUAAUCUAAGAGAGAGAUGUCUUGCUAUAGGUUUAUAAUAAUGCCUCAUUUUCCAUGUCAGCUUUAGAACUAUAAUGUAUCAGAUUGCAAUUUUCAAUGGGAAAUAACUAUGGUGUCUAAGAAACUGUGAUCUCAGUUCAUUGUUGGUUUCGGAAGUAGAGCUGCUGACACCACUUGGAAAGCCAUCCUACGUAGCAAUUCUGUAGAAAUACAUAUUUUCUUUCCUUAGUAAUAAUACAGAAUGAGAGAAAGAGAAGGAACCAAUGACAACUGCAUAGAAACUAGGUCUCCUUGCGUGAGAGUUCAUCUCUUCCUGCUGCAUAUUCCCUACCUAAAAUUAUAAUCCUCUCUUUGUGAUCUAAUCAUUUCCACAGCAACCAAUUGUGAUAUCACAAACACUUCAUGUGUGGGGAAAAAAGCUGCAGGAAUAGAUGAACUCUGAAGAGCCCAAGCGUGCAUUUUUAUGCAAAUACCUUUAUUAAUAAAGAAAAAGGAGCAAAAUUCAGAAGUAUAGGAGAUAGCAGCAGACUUGUUUCUAAACAGACUGUUUUUCAUCGUAGAUGUCACCUGCUCUUAUAGAAAUUGUUUUCACUAUUGAAAGAACCUGCUCAGCUGGGACUCCACUGCCAACAAAGAUACAUGAGGAUUGUUGACUGGUGGCCCCAAACUGACCUUGGAGGGCAUAUGGUUUUGGGUAAAAUAUAAUCUAUUUGCUAACAUCCUUAGAGAAAUAAUAAUAUACAUUAUUGAAGCUGUAACAGGAACUAGAAAAAUACAAAUAUAUGUUUUAAAAAUAGGCUUGGCUAUAGGUUUUUAGUAUUAAGGGCUUAGUGAGGUCCAAAAGUAGUUGGCAGUCGCAUAAGCUAACAUGAGUAUUCUGUGUUAGCAAAAUGUAUCUUGUGAUAGUUUAGAAAUGCACUAUGUGAUAAAUAGGUAAACUACAAACGAACAUACGGUUGUACCUUAGGGUUCCUUUGCAAUAAGGUAGCCAUGCAGCUAACUGCAUUCACAUAUCAAAACUAUUGGUACAUUAACACAAAUGGGUUGCUUCAGUGGUCAGAAGUUUAACUAGGGUUAGCUGGAAUAGCACACAUGGGCAGGGGCCAAAACCUUAUCAUAUAUGGUCCCGGACAUGCAUGGAUGAAAUAAGAGGUGUAUAAAAGAUUUAAAUAGAGAUUGGGAGUGGCUGGGUCAUUACACAUAUUGAAUCUAUUUCCCCAUGUUAAGUAUCCUCAUACCUUCUUGUCAACUGUCUAAAAUGGGCCAUUUUGA